rnacentral:rRNA from 1 species
UGAAACUGCGGAAAGCUCAUUAUAUCAGUUAUAGUUUAUUUGAUAGUAAACCCACUACAUGGAUAACCGUAGUAAUUCUAGAGCUAAUACAUGCCCAGAAGCGGUAACUUCGGAAACCGUGGACUUAUUAGAUCAAGAGCCAACCCUGCUGCAGGACUGAGCUGAAUCAUAGUAAUUUUGCUAAUCGCAGAGGUCUCGUACCGGCGAUGGGUCAUUCAAAUUUCUGCCCUAUCAGCUGUGGUGUUAGUGUAGUGGACUAACAUGGCAUAAACGGGUGACGGAGGAUUAGGGUCUGAUUCCGGAGAGGGAGCCUGAGAAAUGGCUACCACUUCCAAGGAAGGCAGCAGGCGCGUAAAUUACCCAAUCCCGACACGGGGAGGUAGUGACAAGAAAUAACA